AAUAACUGAUCAGAACAAAUGGGGACUUCUGAAGGCAGCUGCAAUCAAAAAGCAAAUUGAGUUCUUCUUGUUGUUUUUUAAAGAGGACCAAAACUAGGAGCCAGACCCGACACAAAGGGAGAUAGUUCUUCUUCACCUGAAGCAGUCUUGAGCCUGCACAGCUAUGCAGGUACAGCUACAAAGAAGGUGCUUAGUGAGGAGGGCUUGGAAACAGGUGGAUGCCCACCAUCAAUAUAUGUAGCUGUAUAUAUUUAUAUUAUCUCCUACAUAUAUAUGGAUUGGUCAUUAAAUUGUAAUGUAUAACUAACACAAUUGUUGAAUUAAAAUUUGCACAUCAGCAUUAUAAUGGGCAGUAAAACUUUUCUGUCAAAUUGACAAGCUUAGAUUUUUUUUUGUUUGUUUCAUUAUUUGUUUGUGAUUUUUGUCCUGCUAGUAGAACACCUGCACAGGGAAUAAAAGUAUGUGACAUUUCA
rnacentral:lncRNA from 1 species